ACGCUCGACACCUACGGGAAGCAGCAGUAGGGAAUCUUCCACAAUGGACGCAAGUCUGAUGGAGCAACGCCGCGUGAGUGAAGAAGGUUUUCGGAUCGUAAAGCUCUGUUGUUGGUGAAGAAGGAUAGAGGUAGUAACUGGCCUUUAUUUGACGGUAAUCAACCAGAAAGUCACGGCUAACUACGUGUCAGCAGCCGCGGUAAUCUGAGCGGGCUGGCAAGGC
rnacentral:rRNA from 1 species